rnacentral:rRNA from 1 species
GAAGGCGGCCAGAGCGGUGGGGCCACACCCGUACCCAUUCCGAACACGGAAGUUAAGCCCACCAGCGUACCGGGAAGUACUGGAGUGAGCGAUCCUCUGGGAACCGCGGUUCGCCGCCUACC